ACUCUCCAGGACUGGAGUUCGCCACCCCUGUUAUAGAUUGUAAUUUUUAUCCAGCCUUAUUGCUAUAGUAUACUAUGCUAAAGUUAUGACAAACCUUGUGUUUAUUGCAGUUAGAACCACGGCAGUAUUCUUCUACUGGCUCCCUUGCUACUAGCUUCUUUGCUACGAAAGUGCCACAGCAGUAUUCUUCUACUGGCUCUCUUGCUACCUCUACUUUGCUGCAAUAGGACCACAUCCAUGGAAUUCAGGAUCAAAUGCAUUUUAUAAACGAGGCCCCAGGAUUCCCGUGAGACUAUCAAGAGAGGAAAAAUAAAAAAUGCCGCAGCUCAGACAAAAGACAGUCCUCUGUGUUUUUGUUACAGUCUCAACUGUUUGGACGACGGUCUGGUGUAGUACAUCUUUUGAAAACCAAGCAUCCAAGCCAUCAAUUUUAACAAUGCCACCAUAAACGUGUUAACGAACACUUAGCCUAGCCAUCUGGAAGACAAUUACACAGGAACAAACAUACCAGCUCAGCAACUAAAGGUUGGGUCAUCAAUCACAGACGAUGGUCACAAUCUAGAUGACUGUUUCUGCUGAGACCCAGCCUAAUAACCCAAUGAACUGCUGUGUCCAGAAGAAACAAGUUUUAGGCCCUUAGCUUUUCAGUAUGCUAAAGGGCAUAACAAUGAUAUAACUGUCACCUACGUUUUGUCAUUUUAUUCAAAUGAAUCCUCAUGAAUUGGUUCAUUUUACCCAGCAACAGCACCAAAAUAUUGCGUUCUGUCCCUAAGUUACAAAUCAACAAUACUGUA